GGGGCUGUAGCUCAGGGGGAGAGCGCGAUUGUGGCAGCAUCGAGGGCGAGGGUUCAAUUCCCUCUGGUUCCA
rnacentral:tRNA from 1 species